GAACGAGUACUGAAAUCAUUGAAACUGCGCAGGACUCUUAAUCAGCGGGUCCUAGGUUCGAGCCCUAGUGCGUCCACCA
rnacentral:tRNA from 1 species